UUUCAAUUUGAAAGACGAUUGGUGUUAGACGUGCCAGAAAAUAUUUUAUACGAAAAAAAAAGAAAUAUUCGAAGAUUUAAUUGAAUAAUUUUUAAGGAGAUAAAAGGAUCACAAGCAUACUAAAUCUUAUUUUAAAAUUUCGGACGACGAAAUUAAUUUUUCAACUAAUUUUUAUUUUCCUGUUGUUUGGAUCGCCGAUUCCUCUGUGAAUCGGCGCUGUCCACGAACAAAAGAAGAGGAAAACUCCAAUCUCAAAUUAUCUGUAUUGGUCCCAAAUUUCCUUUGACAUCAAUCCCCUAAUUAUUAUAUAAUCGGUCCCAAAGCCCAAUUGAUGCCUUUUAAAGGCGGUUAUUGAGAUUUUUGAUUCUACUAAUAUCAAGACCGGAGUCUUCUAAUCGAUGGUUUGAUUAGAGCUCAAUGAACCCAAAAUUGACCUAAAACCCUGACUUGUCAAAUCAAUACAUCAAAUGCUAGAGUCUUCCCGUCCAUAGUUUUAUUGGAGCUCAAUGGACACAGCAUUUCCCUAUUACCGAAUUGUGUCAAUUAAAGAAUUCUGGGGAUUCUCAUUCUUUUUCAAUUGGAGAUAAAACAAGAAUUAUUUAUAGUAUAUAAAUUUAGCUUAUUUUCCCCAUUAUUACAUACAAGACAAUUAUUAAAUUUAUAUGUUAUUUUGGUGCACGAGCAAAGCAAAUUUGAAGCCUUAACUUUUAUAACCACCCAAUUUCAAAUCCCACGUCUGAAGGCCUAGGACAUCAUGGAUAUUAGCUGCGAAACCAAGCCUACUUCCAACGGGAAAGAACCGCCCCAGGACUGAGCACGGCCGGCGGCGAGGAGGUAGCGACUCCCAGAGGAAUUAGGGCCCAAGGUGGUGGUUCGAUAGAUGUGGUAGUGAUGCAGUGUACGGUUGAACUUCUUCCUAAUUCGGCUUAGCCAUAGCCGCCUGUCUUCGUAAGCUUUCUGUACUUCAGUCGUUUUGUUUUUUUUUUGUAAUCAAUGUGCUGACAACUACCGCGUGCGUCCGCAGGUUACGGAUAGUGGAUUGCUCCAUACGAAGUACCUGUAACUGCAGUCGCAAACAAUCAGCGACAUCGAGUGGAAAGUCUCAGUGAAAGUCCAGGUGGCACUUAUUGGAAGAUUAUAUCUAUCCAAAAAACAUUGACGUGAUAUUUUUACUCAAAUUUUGUAAACAGAUAAAAGAGUUUAUUAAACGAUAGAAUUCAGAA